CAAGUGGUAGUGAUCCGAAAGGUGACGACCGCAAGGGAGCUGCACAGGUGUUGCAUGGCUGUCGUCAGGCUCGUGUCGUGAGAUGUUCGGUUAAGUCCGCUAACGAGCGCAACCCUCGCUGUAUGUUACAUGUGUCAUACAGGACCGCCGGUAUCAAGCCGGAGGAAGGUGGGGAUGACGUCAAGUCCGCAUGGCCUUUAUGUCCGGGGCUACACACACGCUACAAUGGUCGGUACAAUGGGUUGCUAAGCCGCGAGGUGGAGCCAAUCCCCCAAAGCCGGCCUCAGUUCAGAUUGCAGGCUGCAACUCGCCUGCAUGAAGCUGGAGUUGCUAGUAAACGCGCGUCAGCUAUAGUGCGUUGAAUACGUUCUCGGGCCUU
rnacentral:rRNA from 1 species